GUGCUCAUCUUGGCAGCACAUAAACUAAAAUUGGAAUGAUACAGAGAGAGCCCCUGUACAAGGAUGACAAACAAAAUUAUAAAUUUGCUUUGGUAAUU
rnacentral:snRNA from 1 species